CUUAAUUAACUUUGGAAGCACCUGCUUUCAAUAUACUUUGUAUCCCUCAUUUACUCAUGUUUCCAUUAUUUUGUUAGUUACCUGAAGGUGUUGUAUGUGUGUAUCUUUACAGUUGUGAAUGAGGAGCAAGCAAAGUAUCAAAAUGUUGCAACAGCUCAGAUGAGAAAGGUUGAACCAACAUAUGUAGAUCCAAUCCCAGUGUUAGUGUACCAGAAUGUUAAUGAGAGUGCUAAAGCAGAAUCAGAAACGGAUGGCUCAGAUUACGAGAACUCUGAAUUCCUGGAGCAAGUGAAGAUGGGGUUAGAACCAUUAGAGGAUGAUGAACCAGAUUACGUGAACGACACUGACUGAUAUGGAAUCUACAUGCUCUGAGUGGAUAUCUAUGGGAAUGGACUUUUCUCUCUUUGUUGAGCUGCUUGAAUAAAUAUUAAGUUAUAAUGAUACAUAUGUCAAUGUGCUAUACCAGAGCAAUGCCAUUUUCGGGUUAAUGCCCAAAGUUGUAUUACUUCAUCAGGAAUUACCUUGAGUCAAAAUGUGAGGAACCAUGUGCAGCAGGGAUGGGCAACUGGCAGCCCAUGGAUCAAUUUCCAAAACUCAGUCAGGGUCUCAGUUUAUUGUUGAGAGAAUAGUAGAAUACACAAGGUGCACUUUUGAAAUGUGCAGUUGUGCAUCAGCGGUUAUGUCAGCCACUCAAUUAGCCCAUGCCAGCAAAAUUAUUUUAGAUUGGUAAAUUAGACUAGCGGCCAGCUAUCUAAACUUGUAAUCAUGUUCAAAUUAUGGGGCCACAAUUGAUCAUCAGAGAUCAUAUUAACUGCUGUUUGUCUCUACCCUAUGGUACAAUGUGUAGAAUUACAGAAAAUCCACUUAACUGCUGCUACUUUCCCCCCUGUUUGGACUGCAUGUAUGGAUGUGGGUAUGCAGACCCGCGAGCCACUGUGGCCCCCCAUGAGGAGUUCUGAUUUGUGGCCCCCACCCCCAUCAAUGUUGCCCAUCCCUGAUGUACAGUAUUUUGGAUUGUUUGAGUGUUACUGUGUAACUGUCACCAUCUAGUGGUACAAAAUGAAUACGAGUCAGCUCCAAAUGUAAAAGAAAAAAGAUUGUCAAUGUGUAUUAAUAAAUAAAU
ensembl:lncRNA